rnacentral:rRNA from 1 species
UACGGGGGGGGCAAGCGUUGUUCGGAAUUACUGGGCGUAAAGGGCUCGUAGGUGGCCAACUAAGUCAGACGUGAAAUCCCUCAGCUUAACUGGGGAACUGCGUCUGAUACUGGAUGGCUUGAGAUUGGGAGAGGGACGCGGAAUUCCAGGUGUAGCGGUGAAAUGCGUAGAUAUCUGGAGGAACACCGGUGGCGAAGGCGGCGUCCUGGACCAACACUGACACUGAGGAGCGAAAGCCAGGGGAGCAAACGGG